UACAGAGGGGGCGAGCGUUGUUCGGAAUUACUGGGCGUAAAGGGCGCGUAGGCGGCCAACUAAGUCAGACGUGAAAUCCCUCGGCUCAACCGGGGAACUGCGUCUGAUACUGGAUGGCUUGAAUUCGGGAGAGGGAUGCGGAAUUCCAGGUGUAGCGGUGAAAUGCGUAGAUAUCUGGAGGAACACCGGUGGCGAAGGCGGCACGCUGGGCCCGCCCUGACGCUGAGGCGCGAAAGCCAGGGGAGCGAACGGG
rnacentral:rRNA from 1 species